rnacentral:rRNA from 1 species
GUAGGUGGCAAGCGUUGUCCGGAAUUAUUGGGCGUAAAGCGCGCGCAGGCGGUUCUUUAAGUCUGAUGUGAAAGCCCACGGCUCAACCGUGGAGGGUCAUUGGAAACUGGAGAACUUGAGUACAGAAGAGGAAAGCGGAAUUCCACGUGUAGCGGUGAAAUGCGUAGAGAUGUGGAGGAACACCAGUGGCGAAGGCGGCUUUCUGGUCCGUAACUGACGCUGAGGCGCGAAAGCGUGGGGAGCAAACAGGGAUUAGAUACCCUGGUAGUCCACGCCGUAAACGAUGAGUGCUAAGUGUUAGGGGGUUUCCCGCCCCUUAGUGCUGCAGCUAACGCACUAAGCGCUCCGCCUGGGGAGUACGGCCGCAAGGCUG